UACGUAGGGUGCAAGCGUUAAUCGGAAUUACUGGGCGUAAAGGGUGCGCAGGCGGCCAAGUGUGUGAGGUGUGAAAGCCCGGGGCUUAACCCCGGAAUUGCACCUCAAACUACUUGGCUAGAGCAUUGGAGAGGGUAGCAGAAUUCACGGUGUAGCAGUGAAAUGCGUAGAUAUCGUGAGGAAUACCAGAGGCGAAGGCGGCUACCUGGACAAUUGCUGACGCUCAGGCACGAAAGCGUGGGGAGCAAAAGGG
rnacentral:rRNA from 1 species